rnacentral:rRNA from 1 species
GACGAACGCUAGCGGCAGGCUUAACACAUGCAAGUCGAGGGGUAACAUGAUCUUCGGAUUGAUGACGACCGGCGGACGGGUGAGUAACACGUAUACAACCUACCUAUCAGAGGUGGAUAGCCCUCGGAAACGGGGAUUAAUACAUCAUAUGAUCUUAGAGCGGCAUCGCUUGGAGAUGAAAACUCUGGUGCUGAUAGAUGGGUAUGCGUCCUAUUAGCUAGUUGGUAAGGUAAUGGCUUACCAAGGCAACGAUAGGUAGCUGGUCUGAGAGGAUGGCCAGUCACACUGGGACUGAGACACGGCCCAG